AAUAUAAUCUAGAUCUAAUCUUGACUAGUUUCAACCUAAUUAAUGCGUCAGAGAAGCCCACAUCUAACUAAUGAGUAUCCUAAAGCUCUACUGCUAGAACCUUGCUCAGCAAGUCUCCUCAAGCCCUAAGACCAUAUGGUCGGCUGCCCACAAAAAAUGCACUGAAGUCUUAGACAUCCUAGACACCAGCUACCCAUCCUAAAGAGGGAAUCCCCAUACCAACCAUCUGGGAGACAG
rnacentral:misc_RNA from 1 species